GAUGAACGCUAGCUACAGGCUUAACACAUGCAAGUCGAGGGGAAACGACAUUGAAGCUUGCUUCGAUGGUCGUCGACCGGCGCACGGGUGAGUAACGCGUAUCCAACCUGCCUCUGACCAAGGGAUAACCCGUCGAAAGUCGGCCUAAUACCUUAUGCAGUCGUCGGAAGUCAUCUGAUGACGACGAAAGAUUUCAUCGGUGAGAGAUGGGGAUGCGUCUGAUUAGCUUGUUGGCGGGGUAACGGCCCACCAAGGCAACGAUCAGUAGGGGUUCUGAGAGGAAGGUCCCCCACAUUGGAACUGAGACACGGUCCAAACUCCUACGGGAGGCAGCAGUGAGGAAUAUUGGUCAAUGGGCGAGAGCCUGAACCAGCCAAGUAGCGUGCAGGAUGACGGCCCUAUGGGUUGUAAACUGCUUUUAUGCGGGGAUAAAGUGAGGGACGUGUCCUUCAUUGCAGGUACCGCAUGAAUAAGGACCGGCUAGUUCCGUG
rnacentral:rRNA from 1 species